AUAAGGUUGGGGGGGAUAGGGGUUUGGGGAUGUGUUAGCUAGAAACCAGAUUAAUAGAAGAGUAGGCCUGAUAUAUUACAUUGUGAGGCAUAGUGGCUGGAAGAACUUAAGCUAUAGCUGUACCCCCUCAUUUUAGUAAUGAGGAAUCUGAGACCUGGAGAGGUUAAAUGACUUUUUCAAGACCACACACUACAGCUUUCCAUUCUGCCAGUUACCAUACUUAUUCUGGGAAACAUUUUUUCUAUACAAAAUGCUCCCAUUUAAGAAGAGACACCAACAUAGUCCAGAGCACAUGCGUUUUGGACAGUGUCCCUGGUUUGAGUAAUUUGUCCAACGUUUUGAAUUCCUUGCUUCUCCUGCAGUGCCUUUUGCAAGGUUUUUGCUUUCCUGAUCCUUAUUUCAACAGAGUCACGUGAAACAUCCCCCUAAGAAAUCAACCUCACUUCUUCUCUUGCUAUGGGUUUGGGUAUCAGAUCAUUUUACAGGGUUCCUCUGCAAAUGUAGGAAUGGCAUAUUUAACAAUAUUUUUGUAUUGUUCCUGAAAGGAAUUAUUUUGUCUGUGGUGAGGGAGAGACAGGAGGGAAGGUGAUGUAACUUUUCAGCCAGUCUUGACUGAAAUCUUAAAAAAUGAAAUGAUCAUCCUACACAAGUCCUCAGUCAUCAACUGAAUCCCAACUAGAAAUCAAAAGUGCAGUUGUGUUAAUACUCACUCAUACUACCCUUUAGUCAUGGAGGGAAACCCUCACAUAAUAGAAGCAACAAAAAAGAAAAAGAAGAAACCACCAUUUCAUCUACUCCUUUCAUGAUCAUGACACAUUGCUAAGCUUUUGCUAGUUCUGGGAGCCAUCGUUUUAAUCACAUUUUGUAAGGUGACAAAUGUCUGCAUUCCACACUGUGUGGCAGCUGUCUCUUUAGACUCCUGUAUUUUGAGGAAAAGAAGUUCUUGGCCAACUACUAUUUUGAACUUUUCACAACUUCUCUGCCCCCUCACACCAGAGGGAGUCCCUUUUGGCUCAGUUUUUAAUCCCAGGUAAACUGCUAAAGUAAUACGGAACAUCUAAGAGAUGGAAGAAGUCCAUGUCAGUGUUUUCUGUUUACUGGGAGGAUAGGUCUAGCCUUUUCAGAAAAUCUCUAAUAGGUGUCAUUUUAAAAAUUCAGGUUUAUGGGAGAAAUCUCAAGUUAGCCACCUUUUCAUGAUUGUGUGGAAAUAAUAACAUUUGGGGGAUUCUUCUGGACUCCCACUUAUCUAUGCAUUUUACUGGCACCUCAGGACAGGAGGGUGACCUUGUUGUCUUAACUUGUACUGCCUGGUGGUCUCUGGGGACCUUCUGAGUCAGUUGUAUACCAAUGUCCCAUGUACAGAAAAACUUCAUUAGAAUAAACAUUACUUGAUAUAAAAUUCCUAUUAACAAUUUUCUAUUAAAUAAAACUAGCUUGAGCUGUCUUUUAAGACCAUGUAUCUGAUUAUUGUUUUAAUGAAGGAUUUAUUCUCAAUGCUGCUUUUGAGCUUCAGGACGACAGGAUAGUGGGAACCUAAAAUAUCUGAUGUCAUCUGCCAUGGGAAACACCAAGAGCCCAGUCGUGCAUUCUUUUUCUUGUUACAGAGUGGGUGGGGACACCAGUUGAGAAACGAACAAACUGAUUGUGCAGACUACUUUUUUAUUAAGAGCCUAACCACUCAUAAUUCGGCAGCUUCAAGUGUAUACAUAUGCACUAACUUUUACAAGUGAUACUCUCUUGUCUGUUAGCCAUGCAAUCUCAUUAUCUCAAUUGCUCAUUCACAUUUGGAAUGUGUUGCUUAAAAUGUGUGCAGUCUUGCUGAACAUGUUUUCAAAGGAAGGCAUCAGCUACGGGCUAAUUGCCACCAAUUUCAGCCCGCCAUGAUCCUUGGAAAUAUAUCUUCCAAGUACCGUCCAUCAUCGGUUAGACAAGUGUUGGGAGUUUGUUUAUUUUUCUCUGGUAGCAACAACGAUGGGUUACGUGGAGCCAUCAGACCUCCUUCUGGCCUCCCUUGUGAUUGAUGGCAUGUGUUUGCAGAAUGGAUAGCUGAGGUUGGCAGAUGGCUGGACAGGAAUCACCUUUGAUUUAAAAUGUAUGUGACCCCAUAAUGAUGGAGACCCUGUUCUGUAAUCAACUGAGCUAGUUCCAAUAAAGUUAAGCAGGUUUGAAUCCACUUUGUGCCUAUCUUUUCACUGAUAAUAAAGUUAGCUAUUUUAAAAUGCAAUACUGUGUGGAAAAUGCUUUGGUGUUUACCCAGAAGAGGCUUUAUUUAUGCUGUAUCAGUGAUUACUUUCAAUUCAGUGUCCAGUGAAAUCGCCUUUGAAGGGCAGCAUGUGGCAGAUUUUGCAUUUGUUUAAG
ensembl:lncRNA